rnacentral:tRNA from 1 species
GUUAAUGUAGCUUAAAUACAAAGCAAGGCACUGAAAAUGCCUAGAUGAGUACAUCAACUCCAUAAACA